UACAGGGGGGGCAAGCGUUGUUCGGAAUUACUGGGCGUAAAGGGUUUGUAGGUGGCCACUUAAGUCAGACGUGAAAUCCCUCAGCUUAACUGGGGAACUGCGUCUGAUACUGAGUGGCUUGAGUGCAGGAGAGGAACGCGGAAUUCCAGGUGUAGCGGUGAAAUGCGUAGAUAUCUGGAGGAAUACCGGUGGCGAAGGCGGCAUCCUGGACCGAAACUGACGCUGAUGCGCGAAAGCUAGGGGAGCAAACGGG
rnacentral:rRNA from 1 species